rnacentral:rRNA from 1 species
GACGUAGGGCGCGAGCGUUGUCCGGAUUUAUUGGGCGUAAAGAGCUCGUAGGCGGCUUGUCGCGUCGACUGUGAAAACCCGCGGCUCAACCGUGUGGUCUGCAGUCGAUACGGGCAGGCUAGAGUUCGGUAGGGGAGACUGGAAUUCCUGGUGUAGCGGUGAAAUGCGCAGAUAUCAGGAAGAACACCCGUGGCGAAGGCGGCUCUCUGGGACGGUACUGACGCUGAGACGCGAAAGCGUGGGGAGCGAACAGG